AACGAACGUUAGCGGCGCGCCUAACACAUGCAAGUCGCACGAGAAAGGGCUUCGGCCCCGGUACAGUGGCGCACGGGUGAGUAACACGUAGGUAAUCUUCCCUCGAGUGGGGGAUAACUCCUCGAAAGGGGGGCUAAUACCGCAUGAGACCACGUUCUCGAAAGGGGAUGAGGUCAAAGCGGGCCUCUGAAUUCAAGCUCGCGCUUGAGGAUGAGCCUGCGGCCCAUCAGCUAGUUGGUAGGGUAACGGCCUACCAAGGCGAAGACGGGUAGCUGGUCUGAGAGGAUGAUCAGCCACACUGGAACUGAGACACGGUCCAGACUCCUACGGGAGGCAGCAGUGGGGAAUUUUGCGCAAUGGGCGAAAGCCUGACGCAGCGACGCCGCGUGAGUGAUGAAGGCCUUCGGGUUGUAAAGCUCUGUGGGGAGGGAAGAAUAAGGGGCGGCUAAUACCCGCACCGAUGACGGUACCUCCUUAGCAAGCACCGGCUAACUCUGUGCCAGCAGCCGCGGUAAGACAGAGGGUGCAAACGUUGUUCGGAAUUACUGGGCGUAAAGCGCGUGUAGGCGGCUCAGCAAGUCGGAUGUGAAAGCCCUUGGCUCAACUGAGGAAGUGCAUUCGAAACUGCGGAGCUUGAGUCCCGGAGAGGAUGGUGGAAUUCUCGGUGUAGAGGUGAAAUUCGUAGAUAUCGAGAGGAACACCGGUGGCGAAGGCGGCCAUCUGGACGGUGACUGACGCUGAGACGCGAAAGCAUGGGGAGCAAACAGGAUUAGAUACCCUGGUAGUCCAUGCCGUAAACGAUGGGUGCUAGGUGUCGCGGGCAUUGACCCCUGCGGUGCCGAAGCUAACGCAUUAAGCACCCCGCCUGGGGAGUACGGCCGCAAGGCUA
rnacentral:rRNA from 1 species